UCUGUCUGCACAGUUGGAGAGCCCAUCUCUUCUCAGCUGGUGACCAGGCACCAUCAAAAUGGGAAAAAUGUCAUAGAACUGGGAAUGGGCAGAGCCUGCUCCAUGGCAUGAAGUGUUACUGCUGGGGAAGUCAGAUGACAGUGCUUCAUCCCACUUCUUGCUCAGAGCGGAGGGGGCAGAAAAUGCUUGAGAGUACAGAGCCUCACUGAUGAUCACAGGGAAUCUGCAGCUGCCUACUGAAGGCUUCCUCAUGCCUGCUACAUCUCAAGCAGCAGAUGAAAGGGGACUGCGUAGCAGUAAGGAGGUGGGAUACAGCCAAGACAACAAAUGAAAAAGAAUGGUAAAUGCACGCAGAGGAAGGUACUGCUGCUGUGCCUGCCAGUCUUGCUAACUGCAGAAAUCUAGAUGAAAAUCUUCAUGGAAGAAAUCUUUUCAUUAUGGAUCAGGAUGGAAGUGAUCUCUGUGCUGGAGCUGCCAGGCAACAAAACGGGUUGAAAACAGAGCUUAUCCAAGGUGUGAGCCACAGAAAAAAAUGCAAAAUAUGAUACUGACUUCAGAAAGCUUGGGUUAACUCCCCUACAGGUGGCUUCAGCCUCUCCUGAAAUCAGGAAUACAAACUCAGAAGAAGCAAUCAUGGCAUUAUCGAAAUCACUGGGAUCAUCUCCAUUUACUCCAAGAUCUGAUAAUGACACUUUGUUUUAUGGUACACAUGAAAGAAUGUUGUAUUCUAACAAAAGGACCCUGUACAAAGGACCAUUACAGAGGGAGUUAUUAUACCUUUAUUUUAUCUAUCACACAGAAUUUAUGGAAAUUAAUCUGUCUUUUAGGGCUGCUCAUCAUAGGGAACCUGGGAAAAUUACCUAAAUCCAUCUGCUUAUUUAUCUAACUGUGCCUGCCCAGCCAAGAGUGGGUCCCCUGCUGGUGCUGUUAUAGUCCAUAUCAUGUUUUAAUUCUUGUGAGAAGAAAAAACAAAUGCUAAAAGAUACAGUGAAACCUAUUGCUACAUUUUCAGUGGUGACCAAGUCUGAUGUUGUCAGAAGUCAGGAUAAACAGUGAAAUGAAUCAUCUGGUUACAAAAAUGGAGGAAGCUCUUUAGCUCAGUUUCAUGGGAUCGAGAUUAAUGAAACUGAAAAAUCAAGACAGGAUUGUUCAAAGCAGCUGCACCAAGAGUCAGAGCUUGGUUACCUUUACAGAUCAGAACAGAGCAGGAAGGGGAAAACAAAGACUAAAGCUGAACCUGCUAGAGUUUUGCAAGUACAAAAUCUAGAGAUCUGAGGGAAGGGAGGUUUUUAGACUGUGCUCCUCUUUGGACUUCUUUUAAACCUAAUGGGUAUUUAGAAGAUAGAUUAUCUGAAUGUCAUAGGGAACAACAGGUCUGUCUGGAUAACUGGGUGAAUUUGCAUCACAGUCAGGUACUGGGAAGAAAUGCCUUUGUGGAGUAUUUUAUUGAGGUUCAAGUAAUCAAAGAUGGGGUGUAAUGACAUCAGAGAUACAUUUUUUUAUUUUCAUGCCUUUCCUUUUCAUUUCCUAACCAUAUACCAGGUGAAGGAAAAUUCCAGCCUUCAGUGUAAAGGAGAGAAAUGUUUCCAGUCCUUGUGGUUGCACAUAAAGCAAAUUAAAAGAACCUGUUACAUUUCUGUAAGUAUAUAAAUUCAAGCCAGCUUUGUGAUUCUGGGUGCCAGCUGUAUGAGUUUUAAAGGCCAUAGGAAUGAAUUAGUCUCCGUCCUCUCCUUCAGUGUGCUUUAAAAAGCCAA